CCACAGUGUCUUUAAUUUACAGCUGGUGGUCCGCACACCCUCACACAGUUGACGAGUUCCUGAAUAUCCCAGUUUGUUGUCUCUCAGGUUCAGUUCAGUCAGCUGUGAGUGUGGAGAAGAGAGGACUGAGGAGAGAGAUGAGGAACAUCUGGAGGUGAGACCACAUAACUCCAGGCUGUGGAGAUACAAAAAGAGAAGUGAGGACAUGAGGAGGGACAGACAGACAGA